UACGGAGGGUGCAAGCGUUAUCCGGAUUCACUGGGUUUAAAGGGUGCGUAGGCGGGCCGGUAAGUCAGUGGUGAAAUCUCCGAGCUUAACUCGGAAACUGCGAUUGAUACUAUUUGUCUUGAAUAUUGUGGAGGUAAGCGGAAUAUGUCAUGUAGCGGUGAAAUGCUUAGAUAUGACAUAGAACACCAAUGGCGAAGGCAGCUUACUACACAAUGAUUGACGCUGAGGCACGAAAGCGUGGGGAUCAAACAGG
rnacentral:rRNA from 1 species